AGGUUUUCAAACUUGAUGCCUCUGAUAUGACAGAUACUGAUGAUAACAUUUUUGAGGAGAUAGAGAAAGUUGUUAAAAUUCCAGAAAAUCACAAUUUUGAUUGGCAGUGGAUUAUCUUAGAUGGCCCAGUGGACACCUUUUGGGUAGAAAAUCUGAACUCUGUGCUAGAUGAUACUAGAACAUUAUGCCUAGCAAACAGUGAGAGAAUCGCUUUAACUAAUAAAAUAAGAGUGAUUUUUGAAGUGGACAGUCUCUCUCAGGCCAGUCCUGCUACUGUCAGCCGAUGUGCCAUGGUCUAUAUGGAUCCUGUUGAUCUGGGAUGGGAGCCUUAUGUUAAGUCAUGGCUUCUGAAAACUUCUAAAAUUAUAAGUCAAUCAGGAGUGGAUUGUCUUGAAUUCAUGAUUAAAAAUAGUGUCACAGACGGACUACAAUUUAUAAAGAAUCGUCAGAAAUUUCAGCCAUAUCCUAUGGAGGACAUAACAAUCAUCAUAACCCUCUGCAGAAUUCUUGAUGCUUUCUUUGACGUCAUGGGUAAAAAUGGAGGAUUUGAACAAAGUGAGUUUUUCUCUCUAAGUCAUGUCAAUGAUACAUCUUAACUAGUCAAUGCCAAUUUAUCACCUUAUAUUAGAUUUUAGAAAAUUUCUCAAAGAGCAAGCAUUUUUAGUCUAUUUGGACCAACAGCAG
rnacentral:lncRNA from 1 species